ensembl:misc_RNA Metazoa_SRP Metazoan signal recognition particle RNA
GCUGGGUGUGGUGGUACAUGCCUGUAAUCCCAGCUGCUUGGGAGGCUGAGGCAGGAGAAUCACUUGAACCCAGGAGGUGGAGGUUGCAGUGAGCUGAAAUUGUGCCACUGCACUCCAACCUGGGUGAUAGAGUGAGACUCUGUCUCAA